rnacentral:tRNA from 1 species
GGUGAGAUGGCCGAGUUGGUUAUGGCGUCAGGUUAAGGUCACCUUAACACCUGCUUCCUGGUGGAGAAAUCCGCGUGGGUUCGAGUCCCACUCUCAUCA